GGUAGCGUGGCCGAGCGGUCCAAGGUGCUGGAUUAAGGCUCCAGUCCCGCCAGGGGUGUGGGUUCGAAUUCCACCGCUGCCA